UACGUAGGGUGCGAGCGUUAAUCGGAAUUACUGGGCGUAAAGUGUGCGCAGGCGGCGUCGCAAGUCGAGUGUGAAAGCCCCGGGCUUAACUUGGGGAAUUGCGCUCGAAACUACGAUGCUGGAGUAUGGCAGAGGAAGGUGGAAUUCCACGGUGUAGCGGUGAAAUGCGUAGAGGAUGUGGAGGAACACCGAUGGCGGAAGG
rnacentral:rRNA from 1 species